rnacentral:lncRNA from 14 species
AGGAGCAACCACUGCCUGGAUGGGGCAGGGGUUGAACAAAGGGGAAAAGGGCAGGUCUCCCCAUGGCCAAAUGGUGGUUCUGCUUUAAAGAUCAGAGGCAAGAAAGUGGCAAAUGGCACUGAAAUAAGCUAUGGUGCUCACCUCCGAGGAACAGAACUGGAAUCCAGUGUCCUCAGUCUGUGGAGGUCAAGAUCUACAGUGUUCCCGGGAGCAACGUGGUGGAUAAAGGGAGAAAUGACAAACAACUUGGAAAGCAAGCAAGACUGCAUCCGGCAUGUUUCAGAAUGCUGACACAAAACAAGAAAGAUGGAGAGCAGGGGAAACGGCCAAAGAAGAGACACCAAGGGCAAGAGCAUGUGCUUGAAAUCAAACAACUCAAACUCAGGAAGGCCAGCUUCAGGGAAAAAGUCAAGCCAAGCACCCUAAUUACAGAGAGGCUUGGUGAAGCCAGAUUUCCACACCCAGACCCUAAACACUGCAACUUCACCAUCCAUCUGUCCCAUAGAGAAGACCCUGGAUCCCCCUAUUUCAGGAUAACCAAGUAAGGAUUCAAAAAGUGUAAUGACAGCAAUUCAACUAAAACAGACACUGUCCGAUUACUUCAUACCCCUUAGAACUGCUGCUGCCAAAAAGCAGCCAAGUGUUGGGAAGAUGUGCAGAAUUGGGGGAA